rnacentral:rRNA from 1 species
AAUUUUGGACAAUGGGGGACACCCUGAUCCAGCCAUCCCGCGCGUAUGUUGACAGCUUUCUGGUUGUAGAGAACAUUUGGCAGAGAAGACAAGGUAUCACCUAAUACGGGAUACUGCUGACGGUAUCUGAAGCAUAAGCACAGGCUAACUACGUUCCAGCACCCGCGGUAAUACGUAGGGUGCAAGCGUUAAUCGGAAUUACUGGGCGUAAAGCGUGUGUAGGCGGUUCGGAAAGAAAGAUGUGAAAUCCCAGGGCUCAACCUUGGAACUGCAUUUUUAACUGCCGAGCUAGAGUAUGUCAGAGGGGGGUAGAAUUCCGCGUGAAGCAGUGAAAUGCGUAGAUAUGUGGAGGAAUACCGAUGGCGAAGGCAGCCCCCUGGGAUAAUACUGACGCUCAGACACGAAAGCGUGGGGAGCAAACAGG